rnacentral:rRNA from 1 species
UACGUAGGAUCCGAGCGUUAUCCGGAUUUAUUGGGUUUAAAGGGAGCGUAGGUGGAUUGUUAAGUCAGUUGUGAAAGUUUGCGGCUCAACCGUAAAAUUGCAGUUGAAACUGGCAGUCUUGAGUACAGUAGAGGUGGGCGGAAUUCGUGGUGUAGCGGUGAAAUGCUUAGAUAUCACGAAGAACUCCGAUUGCGAAGGCAGCUCACUAGACUGCAACUGACACUGAUGCUCGAAAGUGUGGGUAUCAAACAGG